rnacentral:rRNA from 2 species
UUGACUAAUGAGUGCUUGCACUCAGCGGUCAAAGUGCGAGUGGCGAACGGGUGAGUAACACGUGGGCAAUCUGCCCAAAAGUGGGGGAUAACACUUGGAAACAGGUGCUAAUACCGCAUCAACCGGCUGACCGCAUGGUCGGCCGGGCAAAGACGGCGUCAGCUGUCGCUUUUGGAUGAGCCCGCGGCGUAUUAACUAGUUGGUAAGGUAACGGCUUACCAAGGUGAUGAUACGUAGCCGAACUGAGAGGUUGAUCGGCCACAUUGGGACUGAGACACGGCCCAAACUCCUACGGGAGGCAGCAGUAGGGAAUCUUCCACAAUGGACGCAAGUCUGAUGGAGCAACGCCGCGUGUAUGAAGAAGGUCUUCGGAUCGUAAAAUACUGUUGUCAGAGAAGAACACGUGAUAGAGUAACUGCUAUGACGCUGACGGUAUCUGACCAGCAAGUCACGGCUAACUACGUGCCAGCAGCCGCGGUAAUACGUAGGUGGCAAGCGUUGUCCGGAUUUAUUGGGCGUAAAGGGAACGCAGGCGGUCUUUUAAGUCUGAUGUGAAAGCCUUCGGCUUAACCGGAGAAGUGCAUUGGAAACUGGAAGACUUGAGUGCAGAAGAGGAGAGUGGAACUCCAUGUGUAGCGGUGAAAUGCGUAGAUAUAUGGAAGAACACCAGUGGCGAAAGCGGCUCUCUGGUCUGUAACUGACGCUGAGGUUCGAAAGCGUGGGGAGCGAACAGGAUUAGAUACCCUGGUAGUCCACGCUGUAAACGAUGAAUGCUAGGUGUUGGAGGGUUUCCGCCCUUCGGUGCCGCAGCUAACGCACUAAGCAUUCCGCCUGGGGAGUACGAUCGCAAGAUUGAAACUCAAAGGAAUUGACGGGGGCCCGCACAAGCGGUGGAGCAUGUGGUUUAAUUCGAAGCAACGCGAAGAACCUUACCAGGUCUUGACAUCUUUUGACCAUCUGAGAGAUCAGAAUCUCCCUUCGGGGACAAAAUGACAGGUGGU